AUUGAACGCUGGCGGCAGGCUUAACACAUGCAAGUCUAACGAGUGGCUGACGGGUGAGUAAUGCUUGGGAAUCUCGCUUAUGGAGGUGGAUAACUACUGGAAACUGUAGCUACUACCGCUUACCAUCGUAUGAGCCCAAGUGGGAUUAGGUAGUUGGUGAGGUAAAGGCUCACGAAGCCGACUAUCUCUAGCUGGUCUGAGAGGAUGACCAGCCACACUGGGACUGAGACAGGGCCCAGACUCCUACGGGAGGCAGCAGUGGGGAAUAUUGCGCAAUGGGGGCAACCUGACGCAGCCAUGCCGCGUGAAUGAAGAAGGCCUUCGGGUUGUAAAGUUCUUUCGGUAGCGAGGCGUUAACUACAGAAGAAGCACCGGCUAACUCCGUGCCAGCAGCCGCGGUAAUUC
rnacentral:rRNA from 1 species